CCAGGGCUCUUGUGGAGUAACGGCUACCAGAAGCAUGCGGUGAGACUGAUCGCCCAAUGAGACGUCCAUAUUCCUACGGAAGCAGCAGUAGGAAUCUUCCACAAUGGCGCAAGCUGAUGGAGCACACGUGGAGGAAGAAGGGUUUCGGCUCCGUAAGCUCUGUUGUUAAAGAAGAACACGUAUGAGAGUAACUUGUUCAUACGUGACGGUAUUUAACCAGAAAGUCACGGCUAACUACGUGCCAGCAGCCGCGGUAAUACGUAGGUGGCAAGCGUUCCCGGAUUUAUUGGGCGUAAAGAGAGUGCAGGCGGUUUUCUAAGUCUGAUGUGAAAGCCUUUCGGCUUAACCGGAGAAGUGCAUCGGAAACUGGAUAACUUGAGUGCAGAAGAGGGUAGUGGAACUCCAUGUGUAGCGGUGGAAUGCGUAGAUAUAUGGAAGAACACCAGUGGCGAAGGCGGCUACCUGGUCUGCAACUGACGCUGAGACUCGAAAGCAUGGGUAGCGAACAGGAUUAGAUACCCUGGUAGUCCAUGCCGUAAACGAUGAGUGCUAGGUGUUGGAGGGUUUCCGCCCUUCAGUGCCGGAGCUAACGCAUUAAGCACUCCGCCUGGGGAGUACGACCGCAAGGUUGAAACUCAAAGGAAUUGACGGGGGCCCGCACAAGCGGUGGAGCAUGUGGUUUAAUUCGAAGCUACGCGAAGAACCUUACCAGGUCUUGACAUCUUGCGCCAACCCUAGAGAUAGGGCGUUUCCUUCGGGAACGCAAUGACAGGUGGUGCAUGGUCGUCGUCAGCUCGUGUCGUGAGAUGUUGGGUUAAGUCCCGCAACGAGCGCAACCCUUGUUACUAGUUGCCAGCAUUAAGUUGGGCACUCUAGUGAGACUGCCGGUGACAAACCGGAGGAAGGUGGGGACGACGUCAGAUCAUCAUGCCCCUUAUGACCUGGGCUACACACGUGCUACAAUGGACGGUACAACGAGUCGCGAACUCGCGAGGGCAAGCAAAUCUCUUAAAACCGUUCUCAGUUCGGACUGCAGGCUGCAACUCGCCUGCACGAAGUCGGAAUCGCUAGUAAUCGCGGAUCAGCAUGCCGCGGUGAAUACGUUCCCGGGCCUUGUACACACCGCCCGUCACACCAUGAGAGUUUGUAACACCCAAAGUCGGUGGGGUAACCUUUAGGAGCCAGCCGCCUAAGGGGACUGUU
rnacentral:rRNA from 1 species